AUCAAGCUACUAAGAGCUUACGGUGGAUGCCUUGGUGCCAGGAGUCGACGAAGGGCGUGACAGGCUGCGAUAAGCUUCGGGGAGCCGCUUAAUAGGCUUUGAUCCGGAGAUUCCCGAAUCGGGCAACCGAGCAGGUUAAUCCCUGCUACUCGUGUUUACACGAGGGACAACCAGGAGAAGUGAAACAUCUCAGUACCCUGAGGAAAAGAAAGAAAACCUCGAUUCCCCCAGUAGCGGCGAGCGAAAAGGGAAGAGCCCAAACCCGGUAUAUGUUCAAGCCUGAACGCGUUGUAUAUCGGGGGUUGUGGGGUUCGUUAGGUGUGGGUUCAGACACGCCGGAGAGGACCGUGCUUCUAGUCUAAUGUCUCUGGAAAGAGCAACCGGAGCGGGUAAAAGUCCCGUGGACGAAAGAAGUGGCGCCUUUCAACGAGUACCCCAAGUACUACGGGAUAGACAAACCUGUAGGAAUCUAGGAGGACCACCUCCUAAGGCUAAAUACUCCCUGGCGACCGAUAGUGAACGAAGUACUGUGAAGGAAGUGGUGAAAAGUUCCCCCAUUAGGGAAGUGAAAAGCCCCUGAAACCGUAUAGCUUACAAGCUGUGGUAGUGCUAAGUCACGCAAGUGACAUGCAUGACCGCGUGCCUUUUGCAUAAUGAGCCGGCGACUUACUCUGUGUAGCAAGAUUAAGCAUCUUUGAUGUGGAGUCGUAGCGAAAGCGAGUCUGAAUAGGGCGUUGAGUUGCAUGGAGUAGACCCGAAACCAAGUGAUCUAUCCAUAGGCAAGGUGAAGCAUAUGUAAAAAUAUGUGGAGGCCUGAACCCACCAAUGCUGAAAAAUUGGGGGAUGACCCGUGGAUCGGAGUGAAAGGCUAAUCAAACUUGGUGAUAGCUGGUUCUCCCCGAAAUAGCUUUAGGGCUAGCCUUAUGCGUUCGGCAGUGGCGGUAGAGCUCUAAUUGGACUCGCGGCCCCACCAGGUUAGCAACUCCAGUUAAACUGCAAAUGCCAUUGUCCUAAGCAUGGGAGUCAGUCAGUAGGGGAUAAGCUCUAUUGACGAAAGGGAAACAGCCCAGACCACCAGCUAAGGUCCCUAAAUACACGCUAAGUGGUAAAGGAUGUUUUGUUGCUGAGACAGCCAGGAUGUUGGCGUAGAAGUGGCAAUCAUUUAAAGAGUGUGUAAUAACUCACUGGUUGAGCGACUUUGCACCGAAGAUUUCCGGGGCUAAGCGUGUUACCGAAGCUGUGGAUGUUCCAGAAGGGUUCCGUCAGGGGCCCGUAUGGGGUGUGGUAGGGGAGCGUUCUAUAGUAGGACUGAAGGAGAACCGUAAGGUGCUCUGGACGAAUUAGAAGUGAUUAUGCCGGCAUGAGUAACGAUAAAACAAGUGAAAAGCUUGUUCGCCGAAAGCCUAAGGAUUCCUGAGCAAGGUAAAUCCCCUCAGGGUUAGUCGGAUCCUAAGCCGAGGCCGAAAGGCGUAGGCGAUGGGAAGCAGGCAUAAUAUUCCUGCACCACCAUGAUACGGACGAAACUAGGGGAGACGCAGACAAUAAGGACUACCAGCUGAUGGAUAUGCUGGGUUAAGCCCGUCGGAGCGCACCAGGCAAAUCCGGUGCAUUAUGCUCCUCAGGGUGAACAGGAUUCCGUAAGGAUGCAAACUGUCUCCACGGUCUGCCAAGAAAAGAACCUCGAGUGGACAACUCAUGGUGACCGUACCGUAAACCGACACAGGUAGGCGAGGAGAGAAUCCUAAGGCGCUCGAGAGAACUCUCGCUAAGGAACUCGGCAAAAUUACCCCGUAACUUCGGGAGAAGGGGUGCUUUGAGUAGGGUUUCUGAAAAAAGCCGCAGUGAAAUGGCCCAUGCGACUGUUUACUAAAAACACAGGUCUCUGCUAAAUCGCAAGAUGAUGUAUAGGGACUGACGCCUGCCCGGUGCCAAAAAGUUAAGGUGAGGAG
rnacentral:rRNA from 1 species